AUACUUACCUGGCAGGGGAGACUCCAGGAUCACAGAAGGUGGUUUGCCCAGGGAGAGGCUUAUCCAUUGCACUCCGGAUGUGCUGCCCCCUGCCGUUUCCCCAAAUAUGACAAACUCGCCUGCAUAAUUUGUGUAGUAGGGGACUGCGUUUGCACUCUCCCCUG